rnacentral:rRNA from 1 species
AGUGAACGCUGGCGGUAGGCCUAACACAUGCAAGUCGAACGGCAGCACAGUAAGAGCUUGCUCUUACGGGUGGCGAGUGGCGGACGGGUGAGGAAUACAUCGGAAUCUACUUUUUCGUGGGGGAUAACGUAGGGAAACUUACGCUAAUACCGCAUACGACCUACGGGUGAAAGCAGGGGAUCUUCGGACCUUGCGCGAUUGAAUGAGCCGAUGUCGGAUUAGCUAGUUGGCGGGGUAAAGGCCCACCAAGGCGACGAUCCGUAGCUGGUCUGAGAGGAUGAUCAGCCACACUGGAACUGAGACACGGUCCAGACUCCUACGGGAGGCAGCAGUGGGAAAUAUUGGACAAUGGGCGCAAGCCUGAUCCAGCCAUACCGCGUGGGUGAAGAAGGCCUUCGGGUUGUAAAGCCCUUUUGUUGGGAAAGAAAAGCAGCAGGUUAAUACCCCGCUGUUCUGACGGUACCCAAAGGAUAAGCACCGGCUAACUUCGUG